CCUAAUACAUGCAAGUCGAACGCUUUUUCUUUCACCGGAGCUUGCUCCACCGAAAGAAAAGGAGUGGCGAACGGGUGAGUAACACGUGGGUAACCUGCCCAUCAGAAGGGGAUAACACUUGGAAACAGGUGCUAAUACCGUAUAACAAUCGAAACCGCAUGGUUUCGGUUUGAAAGGCGCUUUUGCGUCACUGAUGGAUGGACCCGCGGUGCAUUAGCUAGUUGGUGAGGUAACGGCUCACCAAGGCAACGAUGCAUAGCCGACCUGAGAGGGUGAUCGGCCACAUUGGGACUGAGACACGGCCCAAACUCCUACGGGAGGCAGCAGUAGGGAAUCUUCGGCAAUGGACGCAAGUCUGACCGAGCAACGCCGCGUGAGUGAAGAAGGUUUUCGGAUCGUAAAACUCUGUUGUUAGAGAAGAACAAGGAUGAGAGUAAAAUGUUCAUCCCUUGACGGUAUCUAACCAGAAAGCCACGGCUAACUACGUGCCAGCAGCCGCGGUAAUACGUAGGUGGCAAGCGUUGUCCGGAUUUAUUGGGCGUAAAGCGAGCGCAGGCGGUUUCUUAAGUCUGAUGUGAAAGCCCCCGGCUCAACCGGGGAGGGUCAUUGGAAACUGGGAAACUUGAGUGCAGAAGAGGAGAGUGGAAUUCCAUGUGUAGCGGUGAAAUGCGUAGAUAUAUGGAGGAACACCAGUGGCGAAGGCGGCUCUCUGGUCUGUAACUGACGCUGAGGCUCGAAAGCGUGGGGAGCAAACAGG
rnacentral:rRNA from 1 species